GCCUGCUGCCAUUGGGAGCAAUUUGGGGUUUAGUGUGUUGUGCCUAAAUGCGGACAGCUCUCUCUCUCUUUAGAGACCUUCAUAUGGAUCCUGCUGCUGCAGGUGUUUAAUCAACUGAGAGGAAAGAUUCCUACAAACAGUAGGCGGUAAACAAACCUUCAGCUCCUGUUCAUGUUUUCAGGUCUGUGUGUCUCAAGGAAAAGCACUCAACUGUGAUAUUAUGUAUCUGUGUAUACCCAGUACAGCCAUCCAUCCUGCUUUCACUUGCGCUUGGACAACAUAGUUGCAUUCAGUGAGACUUGAAGAUCGGAGCUUCAUUUUAUGAAUUUGGCAUAUCAGGUCUAGGGUGUGUACCUGUGGUAUAUGCUAGUACAUAUAUAAUAUGUAAGGCACAGAAUCAGAAGUUAGGUAUUGAGAUGUCUGUUAAAUAAUCAGAAAAAGUUUAAUCGUUUCUAACAAAGAUUAAAAAUGAACAAGACAUGAUGUUGGCAAAAAACCAAAAAGCUGCCACUUCCGGUUUUUGAUAGUUGCCAUUUUCUCUUAUUACCUCGACAAGACAGCUGUCCUUUGCAUGCUCUGAAAAAUUUACUUGGCUGGUCUGACCUGUAGACAGUUCCAACAGUUUUUCAAUCAGACAAUUACAUUUAAGAAUAAUAUUUAAUGAGGCAUCAAUUCUCAUGAAAACAUGUAGCUUUUGGAAAUGUGUCACUGUUUCAGAGGGAACACAAUACCUUGUGUUCUGAUGCUGAUGUGGCUCAGACAUAUCUAUCCACACACCAUCUAGAAACAUUUAUUGGCAGACUUCUAAAUGAUAAAACCCACUAAAAGAAACAUUUUCUAGAAUUCGACCUGGACUGAUUCUGGUUCUCCCUGAUUCUCUUUCACAAGGUUUUUUGAAACUGCUUGUAAGUUAUUGAUAAUCUGGGAGAACUUAUCACUUUGUGGGUUUAGAUUAUCUCUGUCAUCUGUUUCUUUAUGUGAUCCCAAACUGCCUCCAUGAUGUUGGGAUCAGUGCUCUCUGAGGGCCAGACCAUGUGUUGCAGGGCUCCUUGUUCUUGUGGCUGAACAUACUUCUUUGUGAGUCCUGCUGGAUAUCUGGACUUGCCAUCCUGCUGUUGCAUUAGUCUGGCAUAAUGAAUAAGAAGUUGAACAUGAUAAGUGGAAAUGAUGUCUUUGACAGUGUGAAGAGGACUACAUUUUGAUUAUAAGCCUGGGGGCCACAAACCUGCUGCAACUGGAUUACCACUUAGGCAAAGUAAGUGGUCCUAGGGCCCCGUAUAGGGUUUGCCCCCCUCUAACAGGUUUUGUCUGCUAGAUGUGGUGACAUUUCCAAAUUAAGAGUAUUACUGGAGCCUAACUCCAUGAUUAAGUGGAGUGUAAUAACAUCUUUUAUGCAUCAAGUUGAAACGACUUUAAAAGCAAAGUAAAAAAGGAAUCAAUGUGUCGGUCUGAGUUAAAUUGCACAGCAGAACACAGUGAAGGAGAACAUCAGGCUGGAUAUGCCUUAAAGCUGUUACUGUAAUUCUAGCUAAGUCCUUCUCAAUCUGGUAUGCUUUAUAGUGACAUAUUAGUACUUUGCAAUCCCAGUCUUCUGAAUAUGGUAAUAGGUCUAUGAAGUGAGUAAAGCUUGGGGCUUUGCAGUCAUCAACAAAAUAAAUGUGCCUGCAGCCUUGAACUUUCCGGUGACGUCGGCACUAUUGUCAUUCCACACAUCAAAAGUCUGAAUACCUGAAUGUGAAAAGAAAUGAGACUUACUUGCGCAAAUGCUUUACCGAAUGCUGUUGCCUGCAUUGGGGGUGCUCACAAAAAGAUAUGCUGUCAUUGGCUGUGUGCUUCCUGCUUCUCAGCUGCCAUAGGCUAGUCUUGUGCUCUCAUCUGACAUAUAUUAUUCUUCACUCUCUCCUUCCAUCAGUCACAUCCCCGCACAGAUGUCUGCUCUCCCUACUGAUUUAUGCUCCUUUUGCACACUGACAGUGGUUUAUGAACUGGAGGGGACCUGCUGUUUAAACACCUUUCACAGUGAAGAAUAAGACACACUCAGGUGCUGGGCUGUAUGCACCUAAAAGAAAAGACCCUUCCAAUGGAUGAGUCAACCGUAGUUCGAACAGAUGGCAAUUCUCUGCUAAAGGCUGUCUAUCUGAGUCGGCUGCGUCUGACUCGGGUACUUCUGGAGGGAGGGGCUUACAUAAAUGAGAGUAAUGAGCAUGGUGAGACACCGCUCAUGGUGGCUUGUAAGACACGGCAUAAAGAUACACAGAGUGUACCCAAACACAAAAUGAUUCGGUAUCUUCUGGAAAAUGGAGCUGAUCCAAACAUCCAAGACAAAAUGGGGAAAACAGCUCUGAUGCAUGCGUGCCUUGAACAAACUGGGAUUGAAAUCCUGUCUCUCUUGCUGAGCGGUGGAGCUGAUCCAACUCUGGAGGAUCAUACAGGUUUGUCCGCAUUAGUUUAUGCAAUCAACUCAGGCAACAGGGACAUUGUCAGUGUCCUCCUGGGUGCCUGUAAAGCAAAGGGUAAGGAGGUUAUCAUCAUCACAACCAACAGACUUCCUUCUGGUCACCAAAUGACAAAGCAAUUCCUCAAUGUCCCUCCACCUCUUGACCUUGAGGAUUACACCUCAGAAUCUUGUUGCUUGUCAUCAUAUGAGAUCCAAUUGCAAACGCUCACACAGGGCUCCUCACAAGCUAUGUCUCUCCAACCUGGUAGCCCCCCUCUUGGCCUCAGAGAUCCACAGUGUCUAAGCUCAGGACCGAAACCAGUCGCAUCUCAACCUGGUUCUCCAAUCCAGCAUCCUAAUCCUUUAAGUGUUCCUGAUGUAGAUAGGCGACUUAAUCUCCACAGGCUACAUUCAGAACAGUGGCCCACUUCCUUACUUCUCCUGCGGAGUCGGGGCUUUUCUCUGACAGAGGGCCCAACAGAAAUUACCCCUGAGCAGGAGUUACCUUUCCGAGUUAGUGGCCUAGCCUUUGAUGGAAGACCUCCUACUAUUUCACACCACUGUAGUAUUGAUGUCAAAGACACGACAGGGCUCCUGAAAGCACUAGAGAACAUGUCAAGAAAUGAGAACAGGGAAGGAUGUAGAAGAAGAUGCUUUGGGAGAAAAAUGUCAUAUGACAGUGCUGCAAGUUCAUCGCAUUCUGCUUCGCACCCAAACUUGCAUCAAGGCAGUCUCACCUUUCCCCUUGAAUCCAGUCCGGUGGAUGAAAAUUCCCCUGAGUGUCUUAGACAGUUGAAUGUUUCUAGUCUGCAGAAUGUGGUACGUCGGCGUAACAUCGGUAUUGACCACUACAGUUCUGACUCUCAGUUGCUGCAGUUUGGCAGCCGAGACAAAAACUUCAAGACUGGUGGUAGUGCUGGAUCAGGACCAGGACCAGAAAGGCACAAACUUGUCAACAGCAAAUCCUCCACUCUGUCAGGAUCCAGGGAGUCCUUGGAGAGCUUUGUCCAGAGACGAGGUGCUGCUGCUCUGGAGAGAAGAGAAUCAGGGGCCCUUCUUCUGGAUCACAUUGCCCACACUCGCCCUGGAUGCCUCCCCCCUCUGAAUCCCCAUGCGCCUAUACCUGAUAUUGGGGUUAGCUCUAGCACCUCCUACCCUGGAAGCAGCAAAACAGUGAAUGGUGUACUUACAGGGUCAAAGGCUUUUCUAUCCAGUGCACCCAUUUUCCCACAGGAUCUAAAAGCUAAGACAAUGCUAUGGAGACGCCACUCAAUGCAGAGUGAGCAGAUAAAACAGCUUUUCAACUUUGAUGAAACUUCAGGCCACUAGAAAAAAUAUAGCAUCUAUCAGGAUAAAAUGCAUGUGCUCUUACCAGUAUCAUACAUAGUUGCACUAUGCCACCAGUGUUGAUGCCAGUUCUCAUGCUCUUUUAGAGUAAAUAUAGUAAAGACAUUCUGAUCUAUAUUGACACAGUUUCAUAUCAUACCAGAAAUAAGGAUAUUUUGAGCCCUGCAUAAUGAAACAUACGUUCAGAAUAAGUAAAAGAAAAAUGAAUGUAACUUAAGUAUCAAAAAUUUUAAAUGUAUUUAUAUAUUCUGCAACUCUAUGAAUGGGACUAUUUGAAAAUAGUCAAAGGUAUUUUAUGUGUAUUUGCACCUUGGCCCCCGUCCCUUUCCCUAAGGACUACAGAUGGAAAUUAGCUUGUAAAGCUACAGUCUGGUACAAACAUCUUUGCUCUUGAGCUUAAUGUCAUUGUACACUGUCCUGAUAAAUAAAUAAAUGAAAUGAAAUGAAAUAUAUUUUAGCAUUGCACCACAAUGGUUGAAUGAUUAAAAAGAAUUCUUAAGACAAGGCCCAACUUGUUAGAUUUUCUGAGUUAUCAUAGAUGCGGUGUUGCUUUAAUCAUAUUUUAAUUAAGUAUGGCUUUCUGGUCACAUGAUAACAGAUGGUCAUAUAUGGAGAUGAAAAAUUCUGUUUCACUGUAGUGACGUUAGAUAUGAGCGUCUGCCUAAUCUUUUUUGUGCCGUUCAGUUAGACCUGGCAAAAAAAUUUACAUACAAGAAAUCCACUAAUGAUAAAUGAUAAAUUAUCCGAGUGUGAUAGCUACGACAUCAAACUCAGAAGAAUAUUAUUGCUGAAACUAUUUAGUCUUUUUUUUUUAUAAUGUUCUUUUAGGGAAACAGAAAUGCAAACACACCAACCAAAAACAAAGAAGGUGACAGGAAUAAAUAAAAUGACUCCAGCAAGGAGCUGCACUUUCAACAUACUUGUGUAUCUAAAAAAAAUCAAACAUUAUGAAAAAGCUUAAUGUUUUGUUUAUUUAUUUCAGUUGUUUAGUUGUUAAUUACACAUAACAUUGUAUGAAUUUAGAUAAUAAGGCUUUUAGUAAAUUAUUAGAAUAUUUCAUUUCGAGGUGGGGAAAUUACUAAUUAAACAGUAUAAAUCCUAUGAAUCUCUCUGCCUUCUUCAGUGCUUGGAAUCUUGAUCAUGGGGAAGACAGCUGACUUGAAAGUUGUCAAGACGACAUUCACUAACACCCACCACGUGGAGGUUCAGCCACAGAAGGUCAUUGCUUAAAAGGCUGGUUGCUGAAAUCUGCAUCAAAGCAUAUCAAUGGAAAGUUGACUGGGAAGAAAAAGCGUUGUUGGAAAAGGUGCACAAUCGUUGAGAGGUUUGUCAUGAAAAGUUGAACCAACAACAACCUCCUUUUCCAGGAGAACUUAGCACCUGAUCACAGCGACAAAAUUACAACCAAAUGGUUCACUGGCUAUGAUAUCACUGUACUUGACUGGCCAGCUGAUUCACCUUAUCUGAACCCCAUAGAACUCCAUAUGAGGUUUUAUCAAGAGGAGGAGGAGAAACAUCUAACCCAAAAAUACAGAUGAGCUGAAGACACCUGGACUUCAAUAACACCUGAACAGUACCACAGGCUGAUCCCUGGCACGCUGCAGUGAUGCACCAAUUUGUGGUAAAAGAGUCCCAAACAAGUAUUGUAUAAAUAUAAACAUACUUUUUAGAGGCUGUUUAUUUCUGUAUUGUAAAUAUAUAUAUAUUUUAAUCUUUGAACUUAUUCCCAUAAUUUGAGAUGCCGGAUUUGUGAUUUUUCAUGAGUUAUAAGCCAUAUUCAGCAAAAUUGAAAAUUAAAAAGAGGCUUAAAGAAUUUCACUUUAUGAGUAAUAAAUCUAUAAUAUAUGACAUUUUCACUUUGUUAAAUCACUGAUGGGAAAUAGCAGAUGUAUAUUUUUGAGAUGUACAGAUGGAUGACUGAGAGGAUAGCAUGUCUCUGGUUAGAAUAUGUUUUUCUAAUUAUUCUGUGGUUCUGCAGUUCCCACUGCCUUUGCAAUCUGAUGCAGAUGAAGGCAAGGUUUUUGUUUAUUAUAUUAUUCACGUCUCAUCAAUAAAACACACAAAUCAACUUUGUUUUUUACAAAAACAUUCAAAUUGUCAGUAAAUUACACUUUCAUCAUUUUUAGGACAAGGGAUGUGGAAUGACUCCAAGAUCAGACAAUAAAGAAAGUUCCUGCUGACUGCAUUGGCCGUACCUGCCCACCAUGCAAACAUCGCCACCUGAGGAGAGAGAGGAAGGGGAAGGGGAAGGGACACUACCUGGAGCCAGACAUGGAGGGCGUGACAGUUGUCCAUGCAGUGCCUUCCUUCACAACCAGAUGAACAGCACCAGAUGAGGUUUUCCUCCCAUUGGCCCCGCUCAUUCAUUUUUUGCAUGGAUACAAAGACAAAAAGUAGCUAAGACGUGAUGAUCACUGUGAAUUAUGAACAAUACAUACAGCAGCCUGUCUGGAUCAUUGCAUGCAGCUGCUCCAGCUGAGCACUGUGCGUAUAAUCUUGAAUCACAAAAUCCUCCAUGUUGAAUGUUUUUCAGUACAUUGUGUAUUUUACGUGAAAACACACAUCUUACAUUUUGUAACAGCAGAUGUACAUAGAAAUGCUAACAUGUGUAUGACUCAUCAUAAAGCAAACCUCUGCAAUGACUGAUGAUCUUAACAGAAAAUAUGAGACACACCUAAGAUGCAGAAAGACAUCAUAGUAUUGGCAUCAACAACAGAGAAAGGCCUGCAGUCUCUUCACAUUUUGGUUUGAGAACUUUUUUGUCCAUCUAAUCUGUGCUGGAUUUUAAAUUUUGCAUUUAACUGUAGCAACUACAGGCUUGCAAGCUGCAAAAUCCGGCCAGAUUCAGUCAGACAGCCUCCUAUUUUUGGCAUAUGACAAACUAUAUAGUAUGGAAACGUGGAUAUUGGAGCACACCUAGGGGGUGACAGAAGUGCUGUUGUUGUUCUUCGUCUUCUGAAUUUCAGGAAUUUGAUUAUAAUUUCUUAGCCUUCUAGGGCUAGUUGAAAACUUUAUCAAUAUUAAGAAAUUACAUACAUUGUAUUGUUAUUUUACAUAUAAUAUUACGAAUUAUCUGAUGCGACUAAUAAGGAUACAGGUAGUAUUUUGGUUACUUGGGUGAUCGAUGCCAAAAUAACCCAGGAGAAGAGGUGCUAAUUGUAUUUGAAGGGGAGAAGUUCAUCCACUGGCAAAAGAUAUAAAUUUUCCAACCAAAAUGCUGUCCAUCUGUGAAGAUCAUUUAUCUAACUAAAGCGAUGUUUCGUACAAUAAAAUAUGUCUUCAUUGUUA